rnacentral:rRNA from 1 species
AUGAAUAUUUUAAGCCUGAACUGUCGGGGCUGCGGGCGGUCCGAGACAGUUCAAGAAAUCUGCAACUUGGUACAGUUGCAUCGCCCCGGUUUGGUUUUUCUCUCGGAGACCAAAUUGUCUGCUACGAGAGCGCAGGAGAUGAGAUUCUGGUUGGGUUUCAGGCAUGGUUUUGGUGUCAGUAGUGAGGGAUUGAGCGGAGGCCUGGUAUUAUUUUGGAAUAGUGAUUCAGUGGUCUCCCUAAAAUCCUAUAGUAGGACACACAUCGAUGUUUUUGUUCAGAACGAUGCCACGGGAAGUAGGGAGUGGCGAUUCACAGGAUUCUAUGGGGAUCCGAGGAGAUCAAGGAGGAAAAUGAGCUAG